CUUUGAACUGGAAGAAACCAGGGGAUUUAGUACAACUCAUUCUGAAUACGGAAACAACCAACCCAGACUACUAUGCAUGAAGGGGCUUAGUUUAACUACUGUGUUAAAGGUUAGUUUAACUAGUGUGUUAAAGGGUUAGUUUAACUACAGAUUUAUAGGCCUAGUUUAACUACCGAUUUAUAGGGUUAGUUAACUACUGUGUUAACGGGUUAGUUUAACUAUUGUGUUAAAGGGUUAGUUUAACUACUGUUUUAUAGGGUUAGUUUAUCAGGUGACCAGAUGGGUUCCGGACUGGACCUGGCCGGUUCUUCAGCCCUAGUGUAAAUAAAAUAAAAGCUCAACUCAAAGGCACAGUUUUCGACCCAAUUGACCCUUGGCUAAGGCGCUUCCUAGAACGACCUUUGAGCUAUGACCAAUUCUAGAAACAGGAAACAUGUCCAGAGAGAAUGGAAUCUGGUACCUGAUGCUUUGGACCAUCUUAAUGCCCUUUAUGCACAAUAAUUCUGAAAUUCAGAACUAUUAUCCUGGAAAUGUGUGUAUCUCGCUGGAAUAUCUCAAAGACAUCAAUUAAAACGCAAUACUGACAGGCCGGGCGCUUCACAGGCAUAGCAACCGUAACCACAGGGGCUUAGCAAAGGCGGAAUUGUCAAUUUGAUGUCAACGUUUCAAUAAUUUUCUCCUCGUCACUACACUAAAGUUGCAGGCGGUUACUGGAUAACAGGACCUUUCUUGAUCAGUAAAUACCAGUGCAACUAGAGCCCGACCGAUAAAGGAUUUUUAUGGCCGAUACAAAUAUAUGUUGAUUAAAAAUGCCGAUAUAUAUUUAAAAAAUAAAUUCCAGAAACGAGUAUUAAAACAUAAACAGAUUUCCCUAACAGUAUGUAUUUAUGAGUCCUCACUAUAAUAAUAAGGUAAUGCAUUUAAAAAAAAUUAACUUUAUUUGAUUGUAUUAUUGUCACAAUAGAAAAGUGCGGAAACCAUAACAGGGACGUGGUUUAAAAUAUAUUUUUUUAACGUUUCUCGUGAGCACGAGAAAGUAUCUGGUGCUCACGAGAAAGUAGGCCUAUCUCGUACGCAUAUCACUGGCUCUGUGUGCAUGUGCAAGUGUGUUGGUUUGUCGUCAGCGAGUGAGUGGACGAGCGAGCAGAGCAGAGAAGGUAGUGUGCGUGUCAGUUUAGUGAAGUAAUGAACAAGUCCGGUUGUGUGUAAGAAAG